rnacentral:lncRNA from 1 species
CGCCCAGCUGGUGGAGGGCGGAGCCCCGGCCGGCCAGCUGCAGCAUGUAGAGCCCCGUGUCGGGGUCGCGCACGCAGCGCCGCAGCAGCUGCACGUACGUGAGGUUCUCGUGGGUGUUGGGGUCGAAGAAGCCCUUGGUGUCGUCGCUGGGGUCCUCCAGCACGCGGUUCAUCUCCUCGUCGAAGUAGCCGCGCUGGUAGGCCACGUCCACGGGCACGCGGUGGCUGUGCACGGGGUCGAUGACGCCGCCCGUGGCGAUCUGGGCCUCCAGCAGGCGGAUGCCGUGCUCGCGCACGAUGAGGUCCUUCUUCAUGGCCUGGAAGAGGGAGAUCUGCUGCCCGGUGUAGGGGUCGGUGUAGCCGGUGACCGCGCGCUCGGCCGACAGCAGCUUCUCCUGGAGCUCGCCGCCCACCACGCCCGCGGCCACCGCCUCCUCCACGGACAGCUUCUGGUUGCGCACGGGGUCGAUGACGAAGCCCGUGGCCGCCUGCGCCUCCAGCAGCACCAGGGCCGUGCCCGGCCGCAGGACGCCCUUCCACAUGGCCUGGGAGAUGCUCAUCUUCUCCUGGCGCCCGGGCUCGUCCUUGGCGGGGACCAGCACGCCCGCGAUGCAGCUGGUGCCCUCCAGGUAGCGCUUCACCGAGUCCAUCUCCGUCACCUCCUGCAGGGUCUUGGUGCCCUGGGCCAGGUCCCGCAGGGUCUCGGGGCCCAGGAUCCCGGACGUGUGCAGCUCGGAGGCCGACACCUGGCGCCUCAGGCCCCGGAAGGACACCUUGCUCAGCCGCUCCUCCGUCUCCUCGAUGAGCUGGGUGAGGACGGCGACCAGGGCGGGCAGGGCCAGGGCGCCGGCCGCGUGCUGGGCCAGCAGCUCGUCCCGCCGGGCCUGGCUCAGGUAGGAGGAGAAGAGGACCUCCCACACGGAGACGCGCCGGCCCUGGAACCGCCCGACGCGCACCUCCAUGGUGGCGGCGCGCAGGGCCUGCUCCUGCAGGGCCCUGGCGGCGUCCUCGGCGUCCUGGGCGGAGGAGGGUCCCGCGUCGGCCCCCUCGCCCGGCCCCUGGGGCCCGGGCUCCCGCUGCCCGGAGGCUCCGCCCCCUUGGGAGGGGGCCGCCUCAGCCUCCUCGAUGAUGGUGGUCAGCCUGCGGGUCAGGGCGGGCAGGCCCAGCGUCCCCGCCCCGAACUCGGCCAGCAGCUGCUCCCGCGUGGCGGCGCUCACGUAGCCGGAGGCCAGCACGUCCCACACGGGCACCGCGGGCCCCCGCAGCGUCCGCGGGCACGCGGUGGCUGUGCACGGGAUCGAUGAUGCCGCCCGUGGCGAUCUGGGCCUCCAGCAGGCGGAUGCCGUGCUCGCGCACUAUGAGGUCCUUCUUCAUGGCCUGGAAGAGGGAGAUCUGUUCCCCGGUAUAGGGGUCGGUGUAGCCAGUGACCGCACGCUCAGCCGACAGCAGCUUCUGGUAGGUUUCCCUGCCAAACAUCCCUGCCGCAAAUGCCUCCUGCACAGUCAGCUUCCGGUUCUCCACAGGGUCAAUAAGGAAGCCAGUGGCCGCCUGUGCCUCCAGCAGCACCAGGGCCGUGCCCGGCCGCAGGACGUUUCUUCUCAGAGCUUCUGAGAUGCUCAUCUUCUCCCUGGUGUCCUGGAUGAGGACCCCAGCGAUGAAGCUGCCCCCUUCCAAGUACCGCCGCACAUGGUCCAUCUCCGCCACCUCCUGCACGGUCUUCUUCCCUUGACUCAGCUCAUCCAGCGUCUUCCUGUCUAUCAGCUGGGACCUGAACAGGUCGUUGGCUGACAGCUGCUUCCGGAGACCCCUGAAAGUGGCCUGUGAGGGCUGCCUUUCUGAAGCCUCAACCAGGGUGGUGACUGCAGUGACCACCUGCCGCAGGGCCGUGGCCCUCCCAGACUGGCAGAGUGCUGCCAGCUCCCGCCGCUUGCGGAGCCCUACAUACUCUGAAUGCAGCAGGUCCCAGAGUGAGAUGUUGAGCCCUCUGAACCUCCCUGCCCCAACUGGCACCUUCAUGGCCCUCAGGGCCACUGCUGUGUGGUCAUCCACCUCUAGCACCAUGUCCUGGGAGAGUGGCAGGGCAGUGUCGGCGUCCAGGACACAGCGCUCCUUGAGCUGUCCGUAGGUCACCUUGUCCUGUGUGCCAGGGUCGAAGAAGAAUUUGCUGUCCUCAUCCAUUGAGGUUAGCAUCCUGCUUGUCUGCUCAUCCAGGAGGCCGAGCCUGCAGGCUGCCGCCUGGGGCAGGUGCACCCUGUGGACAGGGUCCACCACACCCCCUGUGGCCAGCUGCGCCUGCAGGAGCGG